rnacentral:rRNA from 1 species
CGAAAGUGUGGGUAGCAAACAGGAUUAGAUACCCUGGUAGUCCACACUGUAAACGAUGAUUACUAGGUGUGGGGGGUCUAACCCCCUCCGUGCCGGAGUUAACACAAUAAGUAAUCCACCUGGGGAGUACGACCGCAAGGUUGAAACUCAAAGGAAUUGACGGGGGCCCGCACAAGCAGUGGAGUAUGUGGUUUAAUUCGACGCAACGCGAAGAACCUUACCAGGUCUUGACAUCCAACUAACGAAGCAGAGAUGCAUUAGGUGCCCUUCGGGGAAAGUUGAGACAGGUGGUGCAUGGUUGUCGUCAGCUCGUGUCGUGAGAUGUUGGGUUAAGUCCCGCAACGAGCGCAACCCUUGUGAUUAGUUGCUACGCAAGAGCACUCUAAUCAGACUGCCGUUGACAAAACGGAGGAAGGUGGGGACGACGUCAAAUCAUCAUGCCCUUUAUGACCAGGGCUACACACGUACUACAAUGGUCGUUAACAAAGGGAAGCAAUACCGCGAGGUGGAGCAAAACCCUAAAAACGGUCUCAGUUCAGAUUGUAGGCUGCAACUCGCCUACAUGAAGUUGGAAUUGCUAGUAAUCGCGGAUCAGCAUGCCGCGGUGAAUACGUUCCCGGGCCUUGCACU